rnacentral:lncRNA from 1 species
AGGUUCGAAAUAUAUAUAUAUAUAUAUAUAUAUAUAUAUAUAGUGCGUCUGGUAUGCUUGUGGAAGCACGGAACGCUCCGUGCUUUCAAAUUGUUUUCAAUGUUCGAACUUUCGAAUCGACGAUCGGCUCCAUUAGACUUGAUCUAGAGUAUUUGAAAUAUCUAGAAAAUAAAUUUUGUGAUUUUUCGAUACCAUUUGCCUAGUGAUCGAAGUGGCUCAAAAUCAACGGCUGAAAAUAAAAAUCUUACAAAAUAUGAUGAUAUGACAUUAAAAUUUUAGAUCAAAGUUAUUGAUCUUGUUUUAUAUGGUAUAAAGAAUUUUCUAUCAAAAUUUUACGUGAUUUGAAUGUUUCUACACCGUUAAACUUGCAAACGGCUCACCACGGCCAUUAAAAUUAUUAAUUUUGAGCCCCUUCGAUCACUAGGCAAAUGAUAUUGAAAAAUUAUAAAAUUUAUUUUCUAGAUAGUUCAAAUACUCUAGAUCAAC